AUACGGAGGGUGCGAGCGUUAAUCGGAAUUACUGGGCGUAAAGCGCGCGUAGGCGGCUUGGUAAGUCGGAUGUGAAAGCCCUGGGCUCAACCUGGGAAUGGCAUUCGAAACUGCAGAGCUAGAGUAUGGUAGAGGGAAGUGGAAUUUCCGGUGUAGCGGUGAAAUGCGUAGAUAUCGGAAGGAACACCAGUGGCGAAGGCGACUUCCUGGGCCAAUACUGACGCUGAGGUGCGAAAGCGUGGGGAGCAAACAGGAUUAGAUACCCCAGUAGUCC
rnacentral:rRNA from 1 species